rnacentral:sRNA from 1 species
UUCUCCCUAAAGUUUGUGAAAUAUUUUUGAGUUAGCGCACGGCUCAUUAUGAGCCAUUCCCCUAUGCCUAGGACAAUUUGGAUUAGUCCUAGGCGUUUUUUC